AAAAAUUUACUUAUUUGUAGUUUCACUAUUCAAAAAAUGCUUUUAUCCUUCGAAUUUUAAAUAUUUCGCGCCAGUGUACAUGUCGCGUCUACAGCGCUCCCUUCCGCUGACUUCGCUAACGUUCAAAUAAUCUCGAUAGCAGUUGCACUUUCGUAAUUUUUAAGAUGCAUUAAUCUCUCGUUUUAUCUAAUUAUCGUGAUAAUUAGUUACAGUGGAUGUAUUGAAAUUUUAUAUCAAAGUAUAUUUUAAACUGGCAUUAUGCAAUAACCAACGACAAUUUAGCAAAAGGAAGUAAUACGUGUUAAGUAUACUGUGUACGACUUGGUUCGAGUUUAACUUAAUCUCCUCGAUGACGUACUUCCUCCUCGUUGGCUGUUGUACUCGUUUAACGACCUGUGCACCAUUGUGCAUUUUUGAUAAAAUAUUUUGGAAAAAAGUAAUGGUACAUACAAGAUUUGCAUCACAAUAAUAGGUUCCGGACAGCUUUAUUUGCGGUGUAUCUUCGGAAUACAUUGUUUCCUACCUUUGCCAAACAAUUUUUUCUCCAGCUGUUCAACCUAUGCAGACGGUGCAUUUUCUCUUAAGAACCUUGAUGUUAUGAAGAACUUCUUAAACGCAUCAUUCGUUCCAUACUGAUACGAAACCUUGGAAGCUUUGGGUUGACUAUUAAUAAGAAAGAGAGUACAUUGAUAUUGAUUUUGAUGUUGCUGAAA